rnacentral:rRNA from 1 species
CGCGCCCUACGGGACGCAGCAGUAGGGAAUCUUCCACAAUGGGCGAAAGCCUGAUGGAGCAACGCCGCGUGGGUGAAGAGGGUCUUCGGAUCGGAAAACCCUGUUGUUAGAGAAGAAAGUGCGUGAGAGUAACUGUUCACGUUUCGACGGUAUCUAACCAGAAAGCCACGGCUAACUACGUGCCAGCAGCCGCGGUAAUACGUAGGUGGCAAGCGUUAUCCGGAUUUAUUGGGCGUAAAGGGAACGCAGGCGGCCUUUUAAGUCUGAUGUGAAAGCCUUCGGCUUAACCGG